CUUAGAUAUGUGGCUCUAUAAAUAAGUGAAAGGCCGAAUCAAAUGCUUAACAGAAAAGCUCAAUACCCUAAAAUAACUCAUUUCUACACAUCCAUGGCUGGACUUCAGUACAAAUUCUUCCCCACUGAUUUCUUCUUUCCUCCUCAAAAGUUCGCUGGCCGAGACAUCGUUACUCAACAGCAAAUCCCUCUGGUGAAAUCCCGAAAUACCGACGAAUCAGACGAGCCAAAACAGCCCAAAAUCACCACCAUCAACACCAAAGCGAUUACUUCCUCGACCACAAGCUUGGUUCCGAUUAAGAAAUCAAAUUAAAUCAAGGUACGGUCUGAUGUACUAGUUAUUUGAUAAAGACUGUUAUAUGUAAAAUUAAAUCUUAUUAUCGAUAAAUUUAGUAUCGAUUUGUUAGAUCAAGUCGUUCAGAGUGCGAUGAGCAUUUGAGGGGCCUAAUUAACUUUUAAAGGCUUCUCAAAUAAUAACAUCAAAGAUUGUUGUGUAAUGUAUCAAAUUACUUUAUGUGAUGUUGUUUACAGCAGUUAUGAAUUGUCUAUGAUUUGGUUGGAUCAUUAUUUUCAAAGAAAUUACGAGAGGCAAGCAG
rnacentral:lncRNA from 1 species